CGCUGGCGGCGUGCUUAACACAUGCAAGUCGAACGGGAAGCGGCGCCUAUUACUUCGGUGAUUUGGCGCCGUGGAGAGUGGCGAACGGGUGCGUAACACGUAGGUAACCUGCCCUGAAAGGGGGGAUAACCACGGGAAACUGUGGCUAAUACCGCAUAAUCUCGCCGAGACGGUGGUUUCGGUGAGGAAAGCUGAGGCGAUUUGGGAGGGGCCUGCGGUCGAUUAGCUUGUUGGUGGGGUAAAGGCCUACCAAGGCGAUGAUCGAUAGCUGUUCUGAGAGGAAGACCAGCCACACGGGAACUGAGACACGGUUCCGACUCCUACGGGGGGCAGCAGUGAGGAAUAUUGCGCAAUGGGGGGAACCCUGACGCAGCAACGCCGCGUGGAGGACGAAGGUUUUCGGAUUGUAAACUCCUUAACUGGGGGAAGAGAGAGGACGGUACCCCAGGACGAAGACACGGCUAACUAGGUGCCAGCAGCCGCGGUAAUACCCUAGGUGUCGAGCGUUAUCCGGAAUUACUGGGGCGUAAAGGGUGCGCAGGCGGCGCUACAAGUCCGGCGUGAAAGCUUCUGGCUUAACUGGGAGAGGACGUCGGAAACUGUA
rnacentral:rRNA from 1 species